AAGGGAUUAAGCUAUUGAAGAAAUACACAUUAAGGACUAAACUACCAAGGAAAUCAAGAUAAGUAAUCUAAAAUGGAGGAGAGUCGAGUUGGUUUGGUAUUGGAGUUUUACAACCAGGAACAGGUGCUUCGGCAAACACGCCUCCUCAGUAGGAGCCCAGGAUAUCCAUCUGCUAUUGGUGAGCUCCAGUUUGCUUCGGAGCUUUCCGAGUCGGUUCUAUAUAUUUUUGGUAUUGUAUAAAAGUUAAUAGUAUGGCGGGGGUUUGUCCCGACCGUAGCUCUAAGUUCUAUGUAUCGUCUAGAGGCUUUGUAGACCAAUGUAAAGUUAAGCAUGGUAGUGUGUUAUCUUGUAGAUGUUAUGGCCCCAACAGCCAAGUCUAUUAUGUAUAUAGUUUUAGGGCUUGUCGUUUAUAUUUUUUUUUAGUAAGGCAUUAUAUCCGUA